UACAGAGGGUGCGAGCGUUGUUCGGAAUUAUUGGGCGUAAAGGGCGCGUAGGCGGUGCGGUAAGUCACCUGUGAAAUCUCCUGGCUCAACUGGGAGCUUGCAGGCGAAACUGCCGUGCUGGAGUGUGGGAGAGGUGCGUGGAAUUCCUGGUGUAGCGGUGAAAUGCGUAGAUAUCAGGAGGAACACCUGUGGCGAAAAGCGGCGCACUGGACCACAACUGACGCUGAGGCGCGAAAGCGUGGGGGAGCGAAACAGG
rnacentral:rRNA from 1 species